GAGAACCAAGAGAUCCGCUGUUGAAAGUUUUGACUAUUAAAUAAUCGGUUGACAUUAAAUAAAAUUUGGUUGAGUUUAAUCUCUGGCAGGCCCCAUAUAGAAGGCCUACCAAAGCAAAGUUUUCAAAAAAAGAAAAACACAUGUGUAAGAAA
rnacentral:misc_RNA from 1 species